AUUGAACGCUGGCGGCAGGCUUAACACAUGCAAGUCGAGCGGGGUGAUGGUGCUUGCACUAUCACUUAGCGGCGGACGGGUGAGUAAUGCUUAGGAAUCUGCCUAUUAGUGGGGGACAACAUCUCGAAAGGGAUGCUAAUACCGCAUACGUCCUACGGGAGAAAGCAGGGGAUCACUUGUGACCUUGCGCUAAUAGAUGAGCCUAAGUCGGAUUAGCUAGUUGGUGGGGUAAAGGCCUACCAAGGCGACGAUCUGUAGCGGGUCUGAGAGGAUGAGACGCCAAACUGGGACUGGAAAACGGCCCAGACUCCUACGGGAGGCAGCAGUGGGGAAUAUUGGACAAUGGGCGGAAGCCUGAUCCAGCCAUGCCGCGUGUGUGAAGAAGGCCUUAUGGUUGUAAAGCACUUUAAGCGAGGAGGAGGCUACUUUAGUUAAUACCUAGAGAUAGUGGACGUUACUCGCAGAAUAAGCACCGGCUAACUCUGUGCCAGCAGCCGCGGUAA
rnacentral:rRNA from 1 species